UCAUUCUCCACUUUUAAUAAUGGUUCUGACUCUAUUACUCAAAGCUCUGCUUGUGAUCUUGCCCUUCAAUCUUGUUUUCAUCUACUUUAUCAGGGUUAUUUGGCUUGCAAGAAACAAUCUUUAGCAAGGAUUUCAAUUAUGCCAUCCCUCAAAGAGCUAUCUUCUUGGCCGUGGAGUUCUUCGCCCUUACAUGCAAAUUAGGACUUCCCCAACUUACUUUUAUCCCUGUUAAAAGACAUUCCCCCAACAAGGAUGGUUCAAGCUGGUGUUGGGGCUAUCAUUCGCGAUCAUAACGGUAUUUGGGUGAUUGUUUCUCAUAGACCUAUUGGCCAUACUACCAACACGAUUGCUAACCUUCCCUUUGGCUAAAAAAUUCCAAAUAGCCCACCUGGUGAUCCAGCUAACCUUCUCUUAAUCUCCCUUUCUCAUAAAUUUAUGCUUAAUCCUUUGGUCUCUGAUAUGGAGACUGCG
rnacentral:lncRNA from 1 species